CGCGUAGGCGGCCUUCUAAGUCGAACGUGAAAUCCCCGGGCUCAACCCGGGAACUGCGUCCGAGACUGAAAGGCUUGAAUCCGGGAGAGGGAUGUGGAAUUCCAGGUGUAGCGGUGAAAUGCGUAGAUGUCGGGAGGAACAUCAGUGGCGAAGGCGGCUCUCUGGACUAAAACUGACACUGAGGCGCGACAGCGUGGGGAUCAAACA
rnacentral:rRNA from 1 species